rnacentral:rRNA from 1 species
GACGAACGCUGGCGGCGUGCUUAACACAUGCAAGUCGAGCGAUGAAGCUUCCUUCGGGAAGUGGAUUAGCGGCGGACGGGUGAGUAACACGUGGGUAACCUGCCUCAAAGUGGGGGAUAGCCUUCCGAAAGGAAGAUUAAUACCGCAUAACAUAAGAGAAUCGCAUGAUUUUCUUAUCAAAGAUUUAUUGCUUUGAGAUGGACCCGCGGCGCAUUAGCUAGUUGGUAAGGUAACGGCUUACCAAGGCAACGAUGCGUAGCCGACCUGAGAGGGUGAUCGGCCACAUUGGAACUGAGACACGGUCCAGACUCCUACGGGAGGCAGCAGUGGGGAAUAUUGCGCAAUGGGGGAAACCCUGACGCAGCAACGCCGCGUGGGUGAUGAAGGUCUUCGGAUUGUAAAGCCCUGUUUUCUAGGACGAUAAUGACGGUACUAGAGGAGGAAGCCACGGCUAACUACGUGCCAGCCGCCGCCGUAAUAC